ACUCAAAAUCGACAACACCAUCGGCUCAGCAACAAUUUCAACAACAACAGCAACAGCAGCAAAAAAAGCAAAAACGAUAUCGAAAAACGUUGAGUCAACAGGGAACCACACGGAAAGAAGCAUUCGGUGGAAGUCAGGCUAUGAGUGAAAGUUCAGAAGAAGGCACAGCUAUUAUUUG
rnacentral:sRNA from 1 species